GCUUGGCUGCUUCAAAUACAACAUUAUCAAUCUUCUCUAUUCCAGCUCCUUCUUCCCUUCCAUUUACCACCAAACAAACACUCCUCAAUUCUGAUCUCUCUAAUCAAAUCAAUCAAUGAUUAGCUUCACGACUAAUAUUACAGAAUGAGAGAAAUUGAAAAUGGAAGCUAUAUAUGAAUGGAAGGAGAAGAAGAAGAAGAAGAUCAGCUUAGAAAGAAAAUGAGAUUUUGGGAGCUUUGGAGGAAAUAUGGUUUUUUUUUAUUAAUUUUUAUUUUAUUUUUCCUUCCUUUCUCUUCUAAGGCACAGCUAAUUAUUGAUGAUGUUAUUGUUUGUGUGUUCUUUUAGCUUUGAUUUG
rnacentral:misc_RNA from 1 species